AUUGAACGCUGGCGGCAGGCCUAACACAUGCAAGUCGAACGGUAACAGGAAGCAGCUUGCUGCUUUGCUGACGAGUGGCGGACGGGUGAGUAAUGUCUGGGAAACUGCCCGAUGGAGGGGGAUAACUACUGGAAACGGUAGCUAAUACCGCAUAACGUCGCAAGACCAAAGAGGGGGACCUUAGGGCCUCUUGCCAUCGGAUGUGCCCAGAUGGGAUUAGCUAGUAGGUGGGGUAACGGCUCACCUAGGCGACGAUCCCUAGCUGGUCUGAGAGGAUGACCAGCCACACUGGAACUGAGACACGGUCCAGACUCCUACGGGAGGCAGCAGUGGGGAAUAUUGCACAAUGGGGGCAAGCCUGAUGCAGCCAUGCCGCGUGUAUGAAGAAGGCCUUCGGGUUGUAAAGUACUUUCAGCGGGGAGGAAGGGAGUAAAGUUAAUACCUUUGCUCAUUGACGUUACCCGCAGAAGAAGCACCGGCUAACUCCGUG
rnacentral:rRNA from 1 species